UACGUAGGGUGCGAGCGUUGUCCGGAAUUAUUGGGCGUAAAGGGCUCGUAGGCGGUUUGUCGCGUCGGGAGUGAAAUCCACUGGCUUAACUGGUGGCUUGCUUUCGAUACGGGCAGACUGGAGGUAUGCAGGGGAGAACGGAAUUCCUGGUGUAGCGGUGAAAUGCGUAGAUAUCGGGAGGAACACCAGUGGCGAAGGCGACUACCUGGCCUGUUCUUGACGCUGAGGCGCGAAAGCUAGGGGAGCAAACGGG
rnacentral:rRNA from 1 species